AGUGUUUAGUUUAAAAAAAGAGCUGUUGUUUAAAAAAAAAUAUGCCUAAAUUGUCGACGUGUUUGGUAAAUGCCUGCGAGCAAGGAAAUAUUCAAAUUCUCCAGGCCUUGCCCAGAAAAAAUCGCGUUAAUUACUUCCCUUCGCGCUCUAUAAUUAAGGGUUCAAUUAUCAUAAUUCUAUUCAAUAUGUGUUUACUUUAUUUGGGCUAUCUCGCUUAUAAGUAUCUGAACACUUUACAAGAUGAGCAGAAGCUUCAAAUAUCCAACUAUUUAUGUAGCUUGGGUGCUUUUGUGGUUAUCAUCUCACUCCUCCGAAAUAGUGACAUGUCAAAGAAUAAUCCAUACUUCUACUACAUUUAAGCCGUAUAUGAGAAAGGAAAAUUUGAAGCGACAUUGUUUAAUAGGUAAUCCAAAUGUUUGUCAUCAUUUUAUUGGAAUUAUUGUAUCCUGCAAAUACAGUUAAAUACUGUAUUUAAACAGGACUUUUCUAAAUAGAAAUCCUGUCAUUACUUAAAUUCAUGUACACAUAACACAUACUUCAUCUGUCCAAGAAGAAUCCUUAUAGUAAAUCAUAAUAGUCAUAGUUAUAAUGAUUAACCGUGUCAUGUGUUAAAUAAACGGUUGCGUUCUUGACAAAAAAUAAAGAAAUCAAUUGAAGUAUAUAAUUGUGUACACCAUUGGACGCUCUGGUUUCAGACUGGAG
rnacentral:misc_RNA from 1 species